AUUGAACGCUGGCGGCAUGCCUUACACAUGCAAGUCGAACGGCAGCACGGGAGCAAUCCUGGUGGCGAGUGGCGAACGGGUGAGUAAUGUAUCGGAACGUACCUUUCAGUGGGGGAUAACGUAGCGAAAGUUACGCUAAUACCGCAUAUUCUGUGAGCAGGAAAGCAGGGGAUCGCAAGACCUUGCGCUGAUUGAGCGGCCGAUAUCAGAUUAGCUAGUUGGUGAGGUAAAGGCUCACCAAGGCGACGAUCGUGUAGCGGGUCUGACGAGGAUGAUCCGCCACACUGGAACUGAGACGACGGUCCAGACUCCUACGGGAGGCAGCAGUGGGGAAUUUUGGACAAUGGGCGCAAGCCUGAUCCAGCCAUGCGCGUGAGUGAAGAAGGCCUCGGUUGUAAG
rnacentral:rRNA from 1 species